UACGUAGGGGGCAAGCGUUGUCCGGAUUUAUUGGGCGUAAAGAGCGUGUAGGCGGCCAGAUAGGUCCGUUGUGAAAACUGGAGGCUUAACCUCCAGCUGUCGAUGGAAACCAUCUGGCUAGAGUCCGGAAGAGGAGAGUGGAAUUCCUGGUGUAGCGGUGAAAUGCGCAGAUAUCAGGAAGAACACCCGUGGCGAAGGCGGCUCUCUGGGACGGUACUGACGCUGAGGAGCGAAAGCGUGGGGAGCGAACAGG
rnacentral:rRNA from 1 species